AACAAGGCGGAUUGCCGCAUCGUCAACCC
rnacentral:sRNA from 1 species